rnacentral:rRNA from 1 species
AUUGAACGCUGGCGGCAGGCCUAACACGUGCAAGUCGAGCGGAUGAAGGGAGCUUGCUCCUGGAUUCAGCGGCGGACGGGUGAGUAAUGCCUAGGAAUCUGCCUGGUAGUGGGGGAUAACGUCCGGAAACGGGCGCUAAUACCGCAUACGUCCUGAGGGAGAAAGUGGGGGAUCUUCGGACCUCACGCUAUCAGAUGAGCCUAGGUCGGAUUAGCUAGUUGGUGGGGUAAAGGCCUACCAAGGCGACGAUCCGUAACUGGUCUGAGAGGAUGAUCAGUCACACUGGAACUGAGACACGGUCCAGACUCCUACGGGAGGCAGCAGUGGGGAAUAUUGGACAAUGGGCGAAAGCCUGAUCCAGCCAUGCCGCGUGUGUGAAGAAGGUCUUCGGAUUGUAAAGCACUUUAAGUUGGGAGGAGGGGCAGUAAGUUAAUACCUUGCUGUUUUGACGUUACCAACAGAAUAAGCACCGGCUAACUUCGUG